GCUUUCAUCUCUUUUAAUAGUUUGACUGUGACAAAAUUCAGCUCUGGAUCCAUCAUAAAUACUAUGAAUUUAGCAUUCCUCUCCUCCUCGGUCCCUAAUAACACAGCGAUUGGCAACGUUUUGAUAAAUGCAGCUCGAAACAUCACAGCUUUCAACAUCGACCCCACCUCAGUGACAGUCAAUGGCACAGCUAACUCAGGUGUGGGCAGCAAGGCAAGUCUCUUCACAGCGUCCUGUCUGGUGGUUCUGUCAAUGCUCCUAUCAAGACAACAGUGAUCUCAGA